GCGGGGAUAGCUCAGUUGGGAGAGCGUCAGACUGAAGAUCUGAAAGUCACGUGUGUUCGAUCCACGUUCACCGCA